rnacentral:rRNA from 1 species
GCAUAACGCGAAGAACCUUACCAAGGCUUGACAUGCAUCUCUAAGCGCGUGAAAGCGCGUGACCCUUCGGGGGAUUUGCACAGGUGCUGCAUGGCCGUCGUCAGCUCGUGUCGUGAGAUGUUGGGUUAAGUCCCGCAACGAGCGCAACCCUUGUGACUAGUUGCCAGCACGUUAUGGUGGGAACUCUAGUCAGACUGCCCAGAUCAACUGGGAGGAAGGUGGGGACGACGUCAGGUCAGUAUGGCCCUUACGCCUUGGGCUGCACACGUACUACAAUGCCCAGCACAAUGAGAACCGAGACCGCGAGGUGGAGGAAAUCUAAAAACUGGGCCCAGUUCGGAUUGGAGGCUGCAACUCGCCUCCAUGAAGUUGGAAUCGCUAGUAAUGGCGCAUCAUCUACGGCGCCGUGAAUACGUUCCCGGGUCUUGUACACACCG